AGCAGCCAAGAUGACCAAUGAUCCUGCUGUUCAGGGGAGGCUUGACUUGGGAAACUGGUCCGUUGGAUGACUGAAGGGAACCCACACCAUGAGCACACUCUCCAGUGAGUCAAUGAUUAUUCUGCUCCAGCCACUGAGGCAAUAGAGACGUUGACUUCCACUCUAGCCGAUGAGGGCUCAGGUGAGGAAGAGAGAAGAAGAGUGAGGAAGCUGGCUUUAACUCCCUGUGUCAGAGUUCAGCCUCCUACAGGCCUCUUGGAACGUUUGCAUUGUAGCUGCCCAUCCAUCCAUCUACGCAUGUUAAAUAUAUCUUUGCGAGCAGCAGCCUAAAAAACCAGCUGGGAAGGGGCACUGUGUGUUCAGCGGCUUGCACAGGAAAUUGGAAAUCGGAGACCGCGGGGAUCGACCCCCCUCCUCCUCUGACUCAUGCUUAAACAAACCCAACACACCCCCGACCUUUGCUCCCUGCAUCUGCAGCAGGCCCUACGCACCAACAGCUCCCUCGCCCACCUUUGCUGGCACAGGGUUCACUGGCUCACUGAAGUCUCCGGAGUGCUGGGAUUACAGGCGUGAUCCACCAUGCCCGGCUCAUUAAUGAAAACGUUGUUUCAUAAUACUGAAAGCAAAGGCGCUAAGGAAACCAAGAAUGAAGUGGCAGAUAUGGGCCAUCAUCUUUGAGGGUGUGAAAGAAGAUUGGAGACCCUAUCUUGGUGGUCUUCUUUAGCUUGGACCAUGUGGGUCUCACUCCAUAAUGGUGUGAAAGCCACCUCAAGGCAGGGUAGGGUGCUGCAACCUUAGCUCUGCUGCCAUAAACCCAGGAGCAGAGGACCACAGAGGAGGAAGUCCUGCCUAGAGGAACAGAAUGGACUGGUGGCGGCGAGCUUUGAGAUCACACCUCAAACCCAGGAACCUGUUAUGACUGGGUUAUCUCCUUCCUCUCAGCGGGAGCUGGAACAACUCUGAGUCGGCAUCCUGACUUUUGGCCCCUUUACAUGAAACCAUAUGUGGAGGAACUAGGAGUGGUGUAGCUGGCUGUACAUUGGACCUAAGAAGUGGAAAUUUCUUAUUUCAUUGUAAAGUCAGCUAUAUCAAACGAUGUUUUGCUGGGGAACACAGGCGAAAGGAAGUUUUGCUAAAGCAGACAUGUGAAAGAUGCAUGAUGCUUAGAAGGCAUAUAAAUGUGAUCCCACAGACAGUGGGAGCUUGAGCAUUGGUUCACUUUGCUCCACCUGGCUAUUCUUCACUGACAGACGUGCAUGCAUGUAUUGGUUCACCUUAUAUUGCAUUGCUGAGCUCCGCCUGUGGUGGCGCCAUAGAGAGAAAUUUGCCAAAGAACUUCUCCGUGAGGUUCCUGCUGCUUCCUCAAGCUGGUUGGUGAGCCUUGUGGUUUCUUCUGGAUUGAACUGCCCUUGCUGGUUCACAUGUGGUGACUGCCAAGUGGACUGGACUGCAGCUGCUGAUUCCUGUUUGGUGUUUUCUACUGAACUGAAACUGCUGAUAUCCUGACAAUGAAAAUUGGACUUGUCCCCAAAGAGCUAUUUGUAAACAGGUCUACUUCCACACCAUGUCCUAAUAACUUUUAUCUUCCACCAAUGUUGGUGGGUGGUGGCUUAGAGAGGAGGUUGAAUGUUUAUUAAAGUAGGCUG
rnacentral:lncRNA from 1 species